GUAAAUGAGAACGCAAUCGAUUAGUUUAUUAAGGUUGGCUUUAUUGUUUAGUUUAAACGUUUCAUGUUGGCAGCACUUUUUUCUCUCUCUCGCCAUCUUUCUUCCUGUAAACGUGUGAAGUCUCGAAUAUAAUACGUUUGUUAAUAUUUCCGUGUUUCAAUGGUUUUCCCCGAAAUAUCAACAUGGUAGCAGAGCGUAGUUGAUGGAAACCAUUGAAAAUAACAUAAAUAAGGAAAUUCCGAACACGGCGUAUUCUGAUACGUUUUUUCACCGCCGUACAUCAAUUGUUUUUUCAACGUAACGGUCUGCUCGGUGCUGAAUUCACAAUAAUCACGAAGAAAAUGUCCAAUCCGGGCCACAAUCCGUUUCAUAUAGACAGACUUGUCGGAAGAGACAAUUAUGCGAGUUGGAAAUUCGCAGUGGAAGCAUAUUUUCGUCUUGAAGAUUUGUGGAGUUGUGUUGAAGGAACCAAUACUGAUGCCAAGAGGGAAAUCAAGGCGAAAUCGAAGCUUAUUUUACUGCUAGAUCCUAUCAAUUACGUACAUGUACAGAGUGCAACUACAUGUAAAGAAGUCUGGGACAGUUUGCAGCAGGCUUUCGAUGACAGUGGAUUGUACAGAAAAGUCGCCUUGCUGAGAGACCUCAUCACAACUACAUUGGACAGUUCUCGUAAUGUGGAUGAUUAUGUGAAUAAGAUAAUGUCGACUGCACACAAGCUCAGGAACAUAAAAUUCGACAUUAAUGAUGAAUGGCUUGGAACGCUGAUGCUGGCUGGCUUACCUGAAGCUUAUAAGCCAAUGAUCAUGGGAUUGGAGAGCUCCGGGAUCACGAUCAGCGCAGAUUCCAUCAAGACAAAACUCCUGCAGGAAGUUCAAUGCUCAGAUAGCACAGCAUUCUUCACAAGGAAGACAGCCGUUCACAGGAAUGACAGCACAGGAAAGAUGUACACACAAAAAGGACCCCGUUGUUACAACUGUAACAAGCAUGGACAUCUUGCCAGGAACUGCCGUGCUCCGAAGAAGAAGAUUACUGAAAAGGUUGAUGAAAAUAAAGGCUUUGUUGCAGCAUUUUCAGCAUGUUCACAGACAAUGAAUCCGGACCUGUGGUAUGUGGACUCAGGUGCCUCAAUGCACAUGACCAACAAACGAGAAUGGAUGUAUGAUGUCACAAGUCCACCAAUACCCACCAUAACUGUGGCCAGUAACACACCGCUACCUGUAGAAAGUAUGGGAAAGGUCAAUUUAUUUAUAAAUGGUAAUGAACAGAAGAUUCAGGUAAGGGAUGUCCUUUACAUACCUAAACUUGCUGCAAAUCUCCUUUCAGUAAGUGCCAUGGUAAACAAUGGCUGUAAAGUAAAUUUUAGUAAAGAAGGUUGUGAUAUUUAUGAUAAAAAUGAUAAUCUCAUCUGCUCAGCCACACUAGUGAAUAAAUUGUAUCAGUUGAACACUCACAGAGAGGUAUUUUCUAACUUAUGUUCAGAUAAUUUAAAUGAUGUUGUCCUAUGGCACAGGCGCAUGGGACACCUGAAUUUUUCAGAUCUCAACAAGUUACCGGAGUGCGCAGAGGGAGUAGAUGCAUUUCCCAACAAGAGUAAAGCUUCACUGACAUGUACCACCUGCCUCGAAGGUAAACAAUGCAGAUUGCCUUUUAACAACAUCGGCUCCAGAGCUUCACGCCCGCUGCAACUUAUCCAUACUGACUUGUGUGGACCGAUGGAACAUACAUCACUGGGAGGUAUGAAGUAUUUCAUUACCUUUAUAGAUGACUACACUAGAAAGGUUCAUGUUUAUUUUUUGACUAACAAACUGAAUAUAUUUGAAGUUUUUAAGGAUUAUAAGAGUAAAGUUGAGAAUGAACUUGAUUCCAAAAUUAAAUCUGUUCGAUCAGAUAAUGGUAAGGAGUACUGUGGCAGAGAAUUUGACAGUUUUCUGAGUAAACAUGGGAUUGAACAUCAAACAAGUGCACCAUACUCACCCCAGCAGAACGGGCUAGCUGAAAGAAUGAAUAGGACAUUAGUAGAAAGAGCUAGGUGUAUGUUGUUCGAUGCUCAUUUGUCAAAGGAAUUUUGGGCAGAAGCACUAGCAACUGCGGCCUAUGUAGUCAAUAGAUCACCGAUUAAAUCACUUGAUGGCAAAACCCCUACAGAAAUGUGGUCAGGCAAGAAACCUAAUUUAUCUAAUUUGAGAAUUUUUGGUUCAGAAGCAAUGGUUCAAGUGCCCAAAGAAAAGCGUAGAAAGUGGGAUUCUAAGUCUAGAAAGUACUUAUUUGUUGGCUAUUGUGAAUCUAGUAAGGCAUACCGGCUACUUGAUCCUGACACUAAUAAAGUUAUCAAAAGCAGAGAUGUGAUAUUUUUAGAAAAUGUUCGAAGACUUGAGAAUAAUGUGUACUUACCUUGCUCACCUCACAGAGAUCCUGAAGUGCAGCUGAAUGAAGAACCCUGCAAUGAAGAACCACAAACCAGUUUAGACCAGUCAAGCGAUGAAUACCUGUCAGGUGACAAUGAUGAUCCAUCCUACAUACCAGAGGAAUCAGUUGACAUUUCCUCUCCAGCACGUGAAAUAAACUUACGUCCACGCAGAGCUGUCAGGUAUGCAGAAAGGGAUGAUCAUGAUGUGAGUUAUUUUUGUCCAGUUAUUAAUUUGGGUGACCCGCUUACUGUUGAAGAAGCUCUCUCGUCUCCUCAUGCUGAAGAGUGGAAGAAGGCCAUGAAUGAGGAAUACGAUUCUCUAAUAAAGAACGGGACUUGGUCACUGGUGGAUUUGCCACCAGGCAAGAGAGCCUUACCAAGUAAAUGGGUCUUCAAAACCAAGACAAAUAAGAAAGGUGAGAUAGUUCGUUAUAAGGCAAGAUUGGUAAUUAAGGGGUGUGCACAAAGAAAAGGAAUUGACUACGACGAGGUCUAUGCUCCAGUGUUUGGGUGGAUGAUCUCAUGAUUUUUGCGAAUGACAAGAUUGUUGUCACAGAUAUCAAAACAAAACUGGAGGAAGAAUUUUGUAUGAAAGAUAUGGGUGAGAUACAGCAGUGCAUUGGCAUAAAUGUUAACAGAUGUCGUGAGGCAGGUGAGAUCAUGUUGGACCAAGAGAAAUAUAUAAACCAGGUAUUGGAACGAUUUGGCAUGUCUGAGUGCAAACCAGUGCGCACUCCAAUAGAAGUGAAUAUGAAAUUUGAUAAGAAACCUGAAAAUGAAGAUAGUAAUUUCCCAUACAGGGAAGCGGUGGGUUGUCUGAUGUACUUAUCACAAGUGACACGGCCUGACAUUAUGUAUGCUGUGAACAAAUUGAGUCAGUUCUGUAAUGAACCAGGGAUUCAACACUGGCUUGGAGUUAAAAGGGUUAUGAGAUACCUACAGGGGACCAAAAGCUUGAAGCUAUGUUAUGUCAAAGAUGACUCCAUGGAAAUAACCGGGUAUUGCGACGCAGACUGGGCUAGUGACCCACAUAAUAGAAGAUCAUGCUCUGGUUAUUCUUUUAUUUUUCAGAAUGCUUGCAUAUCUUGGAACUCGUGUAAGCAGCAGACUGUGGCGCUCUCGACUGCAGAGGCUGAAUAUAUGGCGAUGGCUUCGGCGACCCAGGAGGCGUUGUGGCUUCGGCAACUGCAAGCUGAGCUCGGCCAAGGAGUGGACACUGCGUUACUAAUCUAUAGUGAUAACCAAAGUGCAAUAAGACUAGCUUCAAAUGAAUGUUAUAAACCUAAAACUAAACACAUAGAUAUAAAGUUGCAUUUCCUGAGAGAGAAUGUUGUUGAUUGUAAAGUUAAAUUUCUAUUUGUUAAUGGUAGUUACAUGGUAGCUGACAAUUUAACCAAGGGUGUAACGCUUGCUAAGCAUUUGUAUUGUAUUAAUGAAAUGGGUUUGCGUUCUAGAGGGAGUGUUGGUAAAUGAGAACGCAAUCGAUUAGUUUAUUAAGGUUGGCUUUAUUGUUUAGUUUAAACGUUUCAUGUUGGCAGCACUUUUUUCUCUCUCUCGCCAUCUUUCUUCCUGUAAACGUGUGAAGUCUCGAAUAUAAUACGUUUGUUAAUA